CUUCUAAACAGGAGUGACCAUUCCUUCUUUUUAGCCUGGUGGAUUAGCUGGGCACUUCUCUCUGGUAAGUUCAUCACACAGUUCAUUGAGUUCAUCACCUGUGUUCUUUUAGUUCCAUUUAGUCAUUUGUGAUUUCUCUGGAAAAACAUUUAUCUUUCUGUAUAGAUUCCUAGUGAAGAUUUCAUUAACAGUAGUAGAUUCAAGAAGGAAUGAAACUUCCAUAAGAUAUCACAAAUGGGACAACGCAAUACACACACAAACACACACACAUACAUGCACACAUACACACAUAUACGUUUUAUAGUUAUAAAAAUAAGGUCAUCCAACCCUGUGAUCAAUAACUUGUCAUUUCCUUCUGUUUUAUGGAUAUAUCUCCUUGCCAAGAAUAUUUUUCCUUCCUUCCUUCCUUCCUUCCUUCCUUCCUUCCUUCCUUCCUUUCUUCCUAUCUUCCUCCCUUUCCCCCUUUCUCUUUCUCUCUCCUUUCUUCCUUCCUUCCUUCCUUUCUUUCUCCCUCCCUCCCUUUCUCUUUCUUUCUUUCUUUUUCUUUCUUCCUCCCUCCCUCUCUUUCUUUCUCCUCCCUCCCUCCCUCCUUCCCUCCCUCCUUCCCUUCCUUCCUUUCUUCUUCCUUCUUUUCUCUCCCUUUUUCUUUCUUUCUUUCUUUCUUUCUUUCUUUCUUUCUUUCUUUCUUUCUUUCUUCCAUAGUUUCUGUGGUGUUUAGGCUGAUCUAGAACCCACUACUUAACCAAAACUGGUCUGGAACUCUCAGGCUUCUCUUGGUUUAGACUCCUGAGUGACAGGCAUGUGCCAUCACACCUAACUUCAUCACCCUUUUUAAGGGCAUCACCCUGUACUGGUGGAUUUAUGUCCAGCUACUUCUGAGCCUUCAGGUACUGGACUUUAUGUAAUAAUCAUGACUCAAUCAGGAGACAUCCUACUGCUAGAGAGGUGUGUUCAAUAGACUUGGACAAAUAGCAAAACUGUGGCAACCUCAGAUGUGCACAUUCAGCCCCAGAAAGGUCUAACACGCACAGUAUGAGACAGAAAAGAAAAGUUGCAAACAAUGUUAUCAGGGGACCAGGAAGGGUGGGGGGAGGGAAGACAUUUCACAGCUGACUGUGAUGUCUCAAUGAGUAGCAAAGAUUCCAUAGUAGGAUUCUGCAAGUAGACAGGAAGAGAAAGGGGGCGGAGCACAUAGGAAGAGCAGAAUUGACCACGAAGAAAUGUAAAGAAGAAACAGCAGACACCAAACAGCCAGCUAUGCUUUUCACACUAUAGCAGACACUGUUGGUCUGAAGUGCGUGGAUUCUGACGAACACUAGGUUUUCAUAACUGGAAGGCAGUGGUCAGCAGCUGUGGAGACAAUGUAGAAUCUCCAGAUCCAUCCUUGUCCAGGUCCCCUCUGCUGUUCAGAUGCCACAUUGGCUCCUCAAACAUUGAGGACAGGUCAUCAAGUGUGAACGGCAGCUUGAACCUGUGCAGGGCAUCCUACCCUGAAAAGAAGGCAGUGGCUGGCAGUUACUCAUUUACAGUGCAAACAGAGACAUUUCAGAGAACAGCUAUCCCUUUCAACCUGGUAUAUAAAGGUCUGCCUCCUGCCCCCAGGCAGUUCAGUGGUGGAGGAAUAUUACUCUUGGCCUGGAUUUCUUCUGCAAGUGCUAGCUCUUUGCCAGGCUUUCUUCAUCCUGGAUGUGAGGCCCUGCCACUAAUUCAACAAUUCUUUUCUUGACCAAGGAGCUACAGGUUGUCCAUAAUGUAUGCACAAAAACAUCUUGCUGGAGCCAAGAACUCAGUUCUUCCCUUGCCUGGGAGCCCUCAAGAUAUGAGAGUGAAAGGCUUUGGCAACAAUAAUACAAAGAGGUAUUGAAUUUUUGUGAGCAACAGGAGGACCUCAGCUUCGAAAGCUAAUGCAAUAUUGAUCUGCGCCAGGAGGACAAGGCACUCUCAUGCGCAACAUUGAGUGCUUGGAAAUCAAUCAGUGCUAUGUUUGGGAAAAUCUCAUUAUCUAAUGAGAGGAAGAAUUUCUGUAAGAUCAUUAUAACCUUCUUCAUAAGGUAAAAAAAGAAAGAAUAGAUCAAACUAAUGUUAACUUGCUCAUUCAUUAAGUGACAGUAUAAAGCCGCUCUAACAUUAAAUUUUUCUCUGCUGUUUAGUGAAAAAGUGAUUGGAAUUUAAAUGUCCUUUUCAGAAAUAUAAGCAGUCACCUUCAUAUUUUACCUAAUCUUCACUUAGAAUGUACUCAGCUUAAGAAUACCAAGCUACUAUUUUAAAGAUAGUUGUACAUCUUCAACUGCUGGCCAUUGAGCUCUUUGAUUUUUCCUUUCCAAUAUAUGCAGUGUAUUCUCGAGGGAAAUCUUAACAGGAAAUUGGGCUAAGCACAAUUUCAGCAACACAGCUGCAACAAGUUCUUUCAUACUUUUCUCAUUGUUUGGAAUUUUCAUGUCAAUUUUUGCAUUCACUUUCUAACUCUCCUGAAAGUUUCAUAAAUGUCCACGUGAAUAUUUCCCAAACUCCUUCAAACCCAUGCUCAAAAUUGUCUUGUUUUACUUGGUCUGGCUUGACCCCCACCCUCCACCUUCAGAAUUUCAACUACAUCCUCUCUUCCUGAUAUGUCAUCCCUUAAUUCUGCUCUUCUUUCCCUCUCUCAUUUCUAGAAUGAGUGAUUUGAUGUAAUGAUGUUUUAAUUAACAGAAAUAAAGUAGUCAGAAAAACUAUUUGUUGAUCUCCAAACUAUCAUAGAAAUCACAUAGAACUUUGGAUAAUCCAGACUCCACUGCCUGUGUACACAGUGAAGGAGUUGGGAGCCAUAGUUGGAAAAGCCUUUCUAAUCACAGAAAUUCCAUCCCUGACAUUCACAGUUUAUUUUCCCUUUUCAUUUUGGACUAUUUUAAGAAACGAUACAUGCCCUGUGACAUUUAUAAAAGAUUCCUCCUUUUUGAGGGGUUUUUCCAGCUGCUCUUAGAUGUUACCUUCAGGGAAUCCAUCCCAGAUCUCCAGCCGGUCAUAGCGACAGAACACUCCUCCGGGAGGAUUUGAGUCUUGCUCCAGGUCAAAACUUUCAAACUCUAGGAUUAUCUCAGACAUCUUUGGUGCAAAGAUGAUGUAGGUGCACUCCAAGCUGUUGGGGUAUUUUUCAGGGAACCCAGGGGACUUUAUCACUCCAGUAGGUGCUGUAUAGUUCUGAGAACAUUCGGGCCCUGUGAGCAAGAGAUAAAUGGGACACAAUGAAAAUUUCCCAAUUUCACAAGAAGUAUGGGGGGAGGCAGGGGUUUCUAAGGAAAGCCCACCAUCAUCUCUAGUCACUGCUUAGCCAUUCCUUAACCUUAACAGUGACCUAAAGUCAGGCUAAGGUUCACUGUGCUCAGCAUAGUGUCCUAUUUGUGUGGAGUAACUGAAAAGCAUCUGAUGUUGCAGGCAUGCACACACACACACACACACACACACACACACACACACACAC